AGUUGUAUAGCUUCAGAUACAUCCAAAAGGUGUUUGAAAAGGUAUGGAAAAGCUUAUAUAACCGGAGUUCUUAGUUCCAUAAAAAAUCAUCUUGUCUUCCUCAUUGUCUUUUGUACAAAAUUUUCAGAGAGUAAACACACAAAGCAAUUCGCUAGAGUUCUAUAAUCCAGUGUGGGUUGUAGAAUUAGGUAGUUGUAUCUUGGUUGAGCAGACGUUGUAGAACCAUAAGCACAAAAGUGGGACGGAAAUAUUGUUCGAAUGACAUAGCUUUUGCGCUAGCCUCUACCUUCAAUUCAUUCAAGUUAGUAUCAUUUUAAUUUUUUGUAAUUAUUGUGUAAUUGCAUUCUGUAUUUUUGAAUAAUAAAGUAUAAGUAUUUCGGUCCUGUAUUUCUGUUAUUUUGUUGUUUCUAAAUUGUUCUCCAACACAUGGUAUGUAACAUUCUAACUACUGGAAAUUUACAGUCGCUUGAGUGUCUAUUUCUGGAAACACUCUAAUAGCAACGUCAUACUUCUCGGCCAUUGUUUAGCAUCGACAACUUCUGCCAUUUUUUGUAACUCAAGACCACAUUAGAUUACUAAGUCCAAUAUUUUUUAAUCUGUGCAGUCAUUGUUGUAUCUUCCAUUUGCCAUUGCAAAUGCACCGAUAGCUAGACUGAACGACGGAGUUCCUUUGGUCGACGAGAGCUUGGUUCUUCUUGGUUACUGUGCAUUUACAGGAUAAUUUAGAAGGAAGCUUGAAUUAUGCUGGUGUUAACUUUAGGUUUUCGUUUCAGACGCGCUCGCAAAGUCGAGAAUGGUGCAGCUCGAGCGAGGUUUCUUGUCGAUAUAAGUUUGUAUAAGAUGAUGCAGCUCUGAAUACAAAAUGCAUACAGUGGAUAUCGACAUUUGCCUGUUUUCGAUACAAAAUGUAGCUUUAUGCAUACAUGACAGAAAUGUAGUCAUGGACAAUGAUGAAUAAUGUGAUGAUACACGAUGCUGAAUCUUUGCCAUGGUCUCACU